AUGGGAAUAACACUGAUUUGCGAUAAUGCCAACGACAUCAAGUACUGUGUCCAACGCAAGACUUGUGACGGGCAGAGACCAGCUGAGAUCUACUGUAACGGGUACGUGGAGAAAGUAGAACCAACAGCGAGAAUGUUGGCAAGAAAAGAAGUUGAGUUUGAAAGUGGCGACUAUGACGACGUCAUGGAAAAAUCCAAUGAAAUGGAGGACCGGAGUCAGGCCAGUUUCAGAGAAGAGGUUGAAGUGAAGAGCACUUCCUUCAAUUCUUACAAUAAUAUGGAUGACGUGGCUGAGACUGAGCCCCUGACCGGUCAGGCUGCCACCUUUGCUGCUUCAGGAGGCAACUAUGUCGAUGAGGUUCCCCUCGAUCACAUCUCAGAUGGGGUGACCUACGAGGUGGACGACCCGCAGGAGAAUUACGACGACAUUGAAGCCUUCCCUGCAAUCACUCAGACUGAAGCUGAAGUCCACGACAGCCCCCAAGUCACACCUGAGAGCGACGCAGCGGAACCUGUAGGAUUAGUGGAGGGGGAUGAUGACUACCUGGUGCCGGGCUAAGACGGGUGAGCCAAACCUGGGUUUAGCUGGCAAAGCGGAUCUCCCCAAACACCUAGCUGCCAUUUACUCUGACGAAAAAAGUCUGAAAUUACAGACGGACAAAACGAUGUCACAGUAAAUCUUUUUAUUCAGCAGAUAUUCAUGAAGUAACUUAAAAAUUGAGUGUAUUAAGAAAAACAUGCAUCUCUAGAUAAAACUAAUUAAAUGAUUCAUACUGAUAAUUCCAUAUCAGACAAGAUUGUACAGUUUAUGAAUAGAACAAAAGGUCGAUCAGAGGUUUCAAAUGUACAAAGUGUUAGCCUGCACAGGCGAGGAAGAUGAGUGAGCACAAUUAGCUUUCUCUUUAAAUGUACAAAAUGAGACGGAAGUGACAGAAACUUAGAGCGAUAAGCAAAGCUAUAAAUCUUUUUUUGUUUUUAUUAUAAAAUCUACUGCCUGUUGUUGAUUUUAUGGCCAUUAUGAAAUGUGCUUAGAAUGUUAAAUAAUCAUAUAUGAUCUUUUUAAUUGUUUUGUUAAAAACAAAUCUGAUGUUAAUACAGUAAUAGAUUUUCAAUGAUUUGCGUAUGAGUUUAUUUUUUGCAGUAUUUUGUUGACUUGUCAACAUCUAUAUAAAGAAUGCAUGCAGCAACAAUGAAAUAAAUGUGACAUGAGUCAAACUCACAGCUGAUUCAGUAAUCAGGUCAUUUCAUCGCAUGGUUGUAUUGUAUAUUUCUGAGUCUAUAGGCUUUUUAAGAAUGUAUAACAUUGAGAUUUUACAGUCAUAUUCUUUAAUAUUUUCCUUGUUCUGCAAGAAACAAAGUAUGCAUAUUUCCAAAUAUAUAUAAAACAUGAGUAUAAUGUUCAGUUGGUUGUUAUUGUCAUCUUUUAUUGUUUCGGUGUCUUUAACAACAAUGUGGUUACAUUUUGACAAAACCAAUUUUUUUUUUUUUUUUAGCAAUAACUGUAUAGUGUGGAUCUGUUGUGUGUCAUUAAGUUUUGUGCAGCACAACUUUAAAUUAUCUUUAAUGUCGAAACUUUUUGAAUGCUCUGUUACCACUUUUAGGUUUUAUCUUCUACCGACAUCUAACGAUGCCUCAGAGACUCAUUGGAAAUGGCUCAGAUGUUGAGUAUCAAACUGUAUGUUAUAUACGUUAUAUAUAGUUUGAU
ensembl:lncRNA